UUUCAGCACAUUCAUGAGUUAAAGUACCGAGUAUGUUGGUACCUGUAAAUUAACUUGUAGAUAGUCACGUGAUUACCCGAAAAACCAAGGCGGUAUAUCUCGGAAACGAAAGCAGCACAAACGGUACAAACGCAGCACUGACGAAUGCGGUGGGUUUCGUCGUUUGUGCUGUUUGUUGGGUGAAGGAGGGGACAACUUCAUGGAGCUGGACAAGCAGACAUGCCCUGGGCGACAAGGACAUAGAGAAUUUACCUAGCUUCAGCCAUACUGCUCAACCUGUAAGCUCCUCUACACACUGCUUGAACAAAUGUAUUACUGUGUGAGAGAACAGAAGAAACUGAAACUGGCUUUAAGACUUGAUGAUUGCCCAUCAAUCACAAAAAAACACGCCUCAAAACUUCAAUUUAAAUGCUCCUGGCCUUCCUUUCCCAAGCGGAAAAGGAUGAUUAUUUUGGUUAUAACUCAUUUUCCAUAAAUACAAAAUUGAAUUGGCCAUAACAAUCCUACACUGGGAAUUUACUCUGCAUAAGUUCCAAAAGACUUCAAAAUCUAAUCUCGGAGACUGCUUCAGUCUGGUUGGAGAGCACCUUCUGGAUGACCCAGCUUGCUGAGUGAGGCUCCCUGUGUCUGGCCGUGUACCAGCAUGUCACCUUAUUGCUCAUCAGAGAUUCGGCACCAUAUGUACAUCUUGCAAAGCAUCUUCAUAAUUGUCACAGAUCCAGCGAGCAAGGUAAUUAAAUUUUUAUAUUAUGCCAUGGCGUAUUGUCGGCCAUAAAAUGAGAGGAAAUCGUUGCUUUAGUUUUAUGUCAAGGAAAUCAAAGCUACUUGUGUGCCACCUAGUGCCCCCUCCCCAUUCCCCCAAGAGACACGGCAGAGACCGAUGAAUGACUAAUGGAUAGAAAGCAUCCUGCGACUUCAGCCAGUAACAUUGUCCCAAAAGGACACUCCCUGUGAAGUCUUGCCUUCAAAAUCCCUUCUGUGGAUUGUGAAACUCCUAACACACAAUCACAAGAGACGCAAAAAAACUCACAGUGUUGCUGCAACACACUGCUUCACACUGGAGGAAUUCCAGUUUUUGAGGCAAUGUUUAAGAAGUUAUGAUCUGUAACAUUCUCUUGUUUAAAAUAAGAACUUGAAAGCUUGAUGAUUGUUUUCAACAAGGUUUUUAGAUCCCUGAUACAUUCAUCCCAAUCAGAACUGAACGCUGAUGCAACUAACAGAGCUGCUGUACUGGCUGAAGAGGAUCAAGAUAUUUGCAGUUCAGUUGUACAUGUGUAUCUUAUGUUUUUGCACCACAACAAAAUGAAGGGUCAACAUGCCUCCAAUUAAGGUAUUCAGAUUAUUUUGGUUUUAAAGUUUCCUUUGAUUUUAAUGAUGAUAUAACUGUGUUUUUCUUUACAGGUUUUAUACUGAAAGGUUGAUCCCCUCACAAAGUAAGAUGCUGACAAGAGAGGCUUAGGGACUCUGAGAUGGUAUCAGCAUGAAAUGGUAUGGCUGGGAAGUUCAC